rnacentral:misc_RNA from 1 species
AUCUUGCCCCUACCUGCUAAUCACACACGCCACAACCCCAUACUGCAUAAGCACUCUCAGCCAUAACCAAUUACGAAAAAAUAACGCAAUGACUUUCAGCAUCAAUAAACCCACCGAAUGACCCAUACCAACUCCAAAGGACAAAACGGGGACAGGACACGGACAGUAAAGUACCGGAAUCCCCUCUAACCAACUCCCAUGCUAAUACUGCCACUGACAGCCACCAGCAAAACUAACAAACCUUAAAGUACAGGACAGUGUUGGAUUUACUUGGAUUGCC